AGAAAUUUAGGUUAACUAAACCAAGGGCCUUCAAAGCCCUAAAAGAAAGUACUAAACUCUCAAUUUCUG
rnacentral:tRNA from 1 species